UAUCCCGUUCCCCACCACUUCUUCUCUCACCCUGACCCAACCGCUGCUAACCCUAACAGCAACGCCGCCGCCGCCGCAUCCUGCAUCCACAAUGCCAAGCCCAGCGCCGCUGCCCCAUUCCCCAAUCACACCGCUGCCCUCACCGCCCCGCCGUCGCCACCCUACUUCCACAUCACGGCGCACGGCCCAUCCCCCAUCUUCGCCCCCACCCGCAUCCGCCACCCGCGCCGCCGUACGCCCCAUCCCCGAUCUUCGCCGCCGCGCCCGCGACCCCCAUCCCACGCUGCCACCCAUCCCCACCGACGCCGCCACACUAGUAUCCCCCACCAACGCCGCCGCCCCAUCCCUAUUCAGGCGGCCGCAGCAACAACCCCGCGGACACACCUACCACCUACGGGCCCCCUGUUUCGCCCCUCACACAGCAGCACCGCAUCUCCUCAGUGCCUGCUCCAUACUGCGUAUCACAUCCUCUCCAUUUGCACUCCCCACAAAUCAGUGGGAGGACGUGCCCAUCUGAAGCAGCAGUAGUAGCAGAACAAGUAGCUACUGCACCGCUUACCUCUGUUUGUGCUCCCCCAGUUUCUGAAGAGGUCUAGGUUCGCAAGUGGAGGAGGGAUCCAACUUGCAGCCAUAAAUAAUCGAACAAGUACCACUUCAUGGUUAUGAAUGGCAAACAGAGGAGGAUGAGCUGAUGCUGUUAUGCAUGAAGAUUUGCAAAUAGGGAAUGUAAGACAUGUCACAGAAAGGUUGCAUGAAUUCAUUCCAAGUCUUGCGUGGACAAAACAACAAGACAAAGGUGACGGCGGCCUUUGUGUGUUGAUACAUCUUUGCAGAUGUAUGAAGCUAUUUAACAACAAGUUGUGCUUAUCUGUAGGAAAGGCAACACAUCUAAUCAGUCAGCUGUCAAAAUGCCUAGAUGCCGACUAAGAUCUGAGAUCAUAUCACUUACAAAGCAUGACUGGAGGACAUGGCUGCUGAAAACCUGAAUGAUCAUGUGAUAGAAGUUGAUAGUAAAGUAUGCAGAAGCAACCAUCACAACCGGAAGCAGUCCCCGCAUCUACGAGGUCACAGUAUAAUUUCCUUUGCAUCCACAAGUUUCUAGAGGUGUGGUUGUUGAGCUAAAAGGAUCUUCUGCUAGGAUAUUUUUCACUUUUGUCUACGAUGUACUGUAAUACUUAUGAAUCUACAAAUCUAUGUAUGUGUGCAUCUAGACUUGAUAAAUGGUUGUGCUUUUGGCUGUCCUGUUACUGGACUUGUAUGCCCAUGUGUGCAUCUAGGCACGCAUGAUGAAUCUUCUUUGUGCUUUUGGCUAUCCUGCAAUACUGGACUUAUGAACCUACGUAUGCAUGAUGUAGACUUGUGAACUUAUGUAUGGAUGAUGGAUUGCUUAUAUCUAUGCCCAUGUUGUUAUAUAUAUAUUACUGUAUGCAUGUGUGUUA